UUCUGUCUGUCCUUUUGUCUUUCCUCGUCUCCUUUUGGAUUUUUAAAGGUUGCCCGGGAGAGGUAAAGUCGCUGCUGAUUUCAGCUUCCUGGGUUGCUGCUGUUUGCGGGAGAAGCAGCAGCGAGAAGAGGAGGGACUCUCUGGCUACGGCGAUCGUUAUGCUGAUGAGAGUCAGCAGCACGUGGUGUCUCAACCCCGUCCUCAUACUUCUGCAGCCUUCAAAAUAAAUAAAACAAUGUGCAUCCCCCACAGAAGAAGGAGCUUGCUUUCAGGCGAUCUCCCCCACCCGGGGACAGGACUAGAGGGAAUGACAGGACUGUCUCCGAUCUGUACUUCUCUCCGGGUUUUUCCAUUAACACAUUUUUUGUUUGUUUUGAAAAAAGCCUGGACUAUCUGGUUUGCCAACUAAUAAUACUUAAUAAUUUGGUGCCAAAGGUUUUUUUUUUUUGGUUGCUAAGACCCUGUCAGUCUAAAGCCUAAAACAUUUCCUUGAAUAAAUGAAAGCUAGAAAACCCGCCCUUCAGACUAUUAAGGUAAAGAGAGUCUGGUUUGUUUUCGCCCUUAAAAAAAAAAAGGCAGAUCUUAUUAAAAACAAUUUA